GGUGCAUGUGAUGAAGUUUAUAGCGAUCAAAGCUUGAUGAGCAAUGAAAUUACCUAUAUGACUGAUGCACC
ensembl:snoRNA small nucleolar RNA Z17